rnacentral:lncRNA from 1 species
ACAGCCUCCUAUCAUUUUUCUACAAAAAACUAAAGAACCCUAAUGGUCCUCAACGCCGCUUAGUAACCAGGCCAUUCAAAGGCCUUUAAACCUUCGCCCAACUCCGAUUGCGCGGAAUGGAAGAAGAUCCGGCCACCAGGUAAGCUCUUUAACUGUUUCCCUUUUUUUUAUGCAUGAUUAAUAAUAUAAAAACAUAAAAUAUAAAAAAGAAACGAAAAGAGAAAAAGAACUAAAAAAGAACACCUUCUUUCAGAAAUUUUUUUGAUUUCUCUGAAUCUCUUUUUUUCUAUUCAAUCUUUUUUUUUACAGUAUCCGAAUGGCCCUUUUAUAGCAAGAAUUACAGAAUAAAAAUAAAUAAAAAGAAAUUCUCCCCAAAUCCCAUCUAUUACCCCUAUUCUGCUAUUCCUUUCGCUGCUUGUUUUUAUGUGCAUUUUGCAGGUAUUCGGCCAGGCUGGAGGUGCAUCUGUGUAUUUUCCGUUCGUUUCUGCUUGUUUGAUUGUGUGCAUGUCGUUGCAGGUGCGAGGCCGUACGAUGACGUGGCACGGCUCAACGCAGCGCAUGGAGGCUACUGUUGCGGCGGCUGGAGCUGAAUGCUGUUGAAGGCUAGGGUUUUCUUUGUAGUUCCUAUUGGGCUUUGGGCUAUUAGGGUUAGGUUUGGGUUUGUUUGUUUUUCUGAUUUGGGCCCUAUUAGGCCUGCUGUAAUGGACUGUGGACAUUUUAAAAUUUGGUUUUAUUUUUAUUUAUAAAAUUGGGUUUAUUUGCUAAGGGGACCCGGGCAAAAAUGGGUAUUACAACCAAAAUAUUUGAUUUUGAAAAGUUAAGUGACUAAAUAAGAAAAAUUAAUAGUUCAUAGACCAAAAUAGAACGAAGACAAUAAUUUAAUGCCUGC